CAGCAUUAUAACGCGAAGGUUGAGGUGGGUGAAGAAUGCGAAACUACAGCAACGGAUUCGGAUUACAAUAAAGAGCAAAUUAGGUUCGACUACCUAGAAGUAUAUUUGGCGCGCGUUUGCAUGCUUGAUUUCGAUACAUUUCAAUGUUGGGAUUUCGUCUUGGCGAUUGAAGUUCCUUUGAUUGACAGUUGGAGUACUUAUGAGCACUUUUGACGGAAUAAUUGCAUGUACGGUGAAAUUUGAACAAGCAAAAGAUGAAGAAGAAUAAGGUUUUGACUUUUUGUUUUCAAGGCGUUUAACUUUAUUUUGAAUUUUUGUUGGCGAAGCUGCAGUCCAGAAGCCGGCUUUUGGAGGUUAAACAAAGUGAGCAUGCAUGGUGUUUGGUAUGUUUUGUAUCCUGUUGAUAUGUAUUUACAUAAAUACAAGUACUUAUAGUUCUA